GCAAGUCGAGCGGCAGCACUUCGGGUGGCAAGCGGCGAACGGGUGAGUAGUAGUUAGCAACUUGCCCUCCAGACGGGAAUAGCCACCGUAAUGGUGAUUAAUGCCCGAUAUGAGGAAACUUAAAAGGUGCGUUUGUACCACUGGAGGAUAGGGCUAACCCCUAUUAGCUUGUUGGUAGGGUAAUAGCUCACCAAGGCGACGAUCCGUAGCUGGUCUGAGAGGAUGAUC
rnacentral:rRNA from 1 species